AUUGAACGCUGGCGGCAGGCCUAACACAUGCAAGUCGAGCGGAGCGGCGGACGGGUGCGUAAUGCCUAGGAAUCUUCAUGGUAGUGGGGGAUACAGUCCGGUAACGGGCGCUAAUACCACAUCCUCUCAGCUGAGCCUAGGUCGGAUUAGCUCGUUGGUGGUGUAAAGGCCUACCAAGGCGACGAUCCGUAACUGGUCUGAGAGGAUGAUCAGUCACACUGGAACUGAGACACGGUCCAGACUCCUACGGGAGGCAGCAGUGGGGAAUAUUGGACAAGGGGUGAAAGCCUGAUCGAGCCAGGCCGCGUGUGUGAAGAAGGUCUUCGGAUUGUAAAGUACUUUCAGCGGGGAGGCGUUACCCGCAGAAGAAGCACCGGCUAACUCCGUGCCAGCAGCCGCGGUAAUAC
rnacentral:rRNA from 1 species